rnacentral:misc_RNA from 1 species
UUAAGUUCAGCGGGUAUCCCUACCUGAUCCGAGGUCAACCUGAAAAAAUUUAGAUUGGGGGUCGACAGGCGCCGGCCGGGCCUACAGAGCGGGUGACAAAGCCCCAUACGCUCGAGGACCGGACACGGUGCCGCCGCUGCCUUUCGGGCCCGUCCCCCCGGAGAGGGGGACGAGGCCCAACACACAAGCCGGGCUUGAGG